UGGGGCACAGGCUGGGGUUAAACACUUUAAGAUGAGAAAAUUUAAUCACUGUUUGAUCUCUGAAGGGUCUGAAGUGAUUUUAGCUACAUCAAGUGAUGAGAAACACCCACCUGAAAAUAUCAUUGAUGGGAAUCCAGAAACAUUUUUUACCACUACAGGAAUGUUUCCCCAGGAGUUCAUUAUUUGUUCCCACAAACACGUAAGGAUUGAAUGGUUUACAAUUCCAAGUUACUUUGUACAAACCUUGAAGACUGAAAAGAGCACAUCUAAAGAGCCAGUUGAUUUUGAGCAAUGGAUUAAAAAAGAUUUGGUACACACAGAGGGGCAGCUUCAAAAUGAAGAAAUUGUGGUAUGUGAUGGCUCUGCCACUUACUUGAGAUUCAUUUUUAUAUCAGCCUUUGAUAAUUUUGUUUCUGUGCAUAGCUUUUAUGCAGAGGGAACAGUAAUCUCAAAUCUUUCUUAGUAAUUGUAACAAAAUGCUCUUGCAUGAUUUUUUAAUGACAUAUUUAAACAUGAAGAUGUCACUGAUAUGCUUUUUUAAAGGA